UUUGUGGUGGGGGAGUAGCCGGCUACGCCCGGGUAAUACCGCAUACGGUUGCCGAGGGGAGUCCCUUGGCAAAGAAACCUCCGGGGCACAGAGAGGGGCUCGCGGCCUAUCAGCUAGUUGGGGGGGUAAUGGCCCACCAAGGCGACGACGGGUAGCUGGUCUGAGAGGAUGGCCAGCCACAUUGGGACUGAGAUACGGCCCAG
rnacentral:rRNA from 1 species